AGGAGUCGUUCUCCCUCUGUUUUAUAUGUGGACAUUUGGGACCACUGUUAGAAUUUGGUCGACCACUUGACAUGUGAGAGCCUGAGGAGUUGUUCCCCCUCUGUCCAUGUUCGAGGACUUGCCCUCUGUCUGCCUCCACUCUCUGCCUUCACUGUACCAAAGUUUGUCUGUUGAGUCUCCUCUAGUCUGGUUGACCACAUGACAUAUGAGAGCCUGAGGAGUUGUUUUCCAGACACAGGUAGAGCUGGCAGGGGCGUCCCCCUGGGCCUGCCCUUUUGGGCUGGGCUUCAGCUGCAGAUCUAAAGGCUGCUUCCAGGGGCAUGGGGCCCUCAGCCUUUGUUUUUCUUUGCUUCUGCACCUUACAACAUACAUCACACCUUAUUUUCACACAUCCAAACACCGUUAACACCACUGACGCGUAACAUAUUUUACACAU